AUUGAACGCUGGCGGCAUGCCUUACACAUGCAAGUCGAACGGCAGCGGACCUUCGGGUGCCGGCGAGUGGCGAACGGGUGAGUAAUGCAUCGGAAUGUACCUUUCAGUGGGGGAUAACGUAGCGAAAGUUACGCUAAUACCGCAUAUUCUGUGAGCAGGAAAGCAGGGGAUCGCAAGACCUUGCGCUGAUUGAGCGGCCGAUGUCAGAUUAGCUAGUUGGGGAGGUAAAGGCUCACCAAGGCGACGAUCUGUAGCGGGUCGGAGAGGAUGAUCCGCCACACUGGGACUGAGACACGGCCCAGACUCCUACGGGAGGCAGCAGUGGGGAAUUUUGGACAAUGGGGGCAACCCUGAUCCAGCCAUGCCGCGUGAGUGAAGAAGGCCUUCGGGUUGUAAAGCUCUUUCGGCCGGGAAGAAAUCGCACAGGCUAAUACCUUGUGUGGAUGACGGUACCGGAAUAAGAAGCACCGGCUAACUACGUGCCAGCCGCCGCCGUAACAC
rnacentral:rRNA from 1 species